UACUAGCCCUGUAUGAAUUGAUACAUACAAUUAUUUUACGGUGCGCUUCACCAUAGAUAGAUAGUCUGGUGAGUAAACAAAAAAUAUAAUAUAUAAUGUUUGGAAAAAAGUACACUCUUAACAUCAGUCAGUCAAGCAUUAUAAAUAUAUUAUGAUAAUCAAGUAUUAUUUAAUGAUAGAACUUUAGCAAUUAGAAUUAAAACUUGGUAACCAUGUAUGAAUGCAUAUUAGUCAUUUUAACUGAACUUAGGGAAAAAGGGUGGUGGUGCUUUUUUGAUCAUUCAGUGUUUCUGUAAAAAUGGGGGGAAAAACUAUCAAUAAUACUGAUAAGAUAAUAAUCAUACUAUGAAUUCUACUAAGAACAAUAUAAACGCACUAAGGAUUAAUGAGCUGCUGGGUUCAUGAAUAUUAAUCACGUUGUCUGCGUUUGCUCAAACUGAUUGGCUGAAAUCAAAACAGGGACGAUAAUAGGUGAGCGCCAGCCAAUGAGAUUGGCGUUUGCUCAUUAGCUCCGCCUACUACCGGAGAACCCGGCAGUUAGAAUUCCAAAGGAACUCCACUUUGACAGAAAAAUACAAAAAAGAAUAUCGUUUACAUACCAAGCAGAAUUGACGCUCUACAUGUAAAAGACUCUCUCUCUCUCGCUGCAUGUGAGAAAAAAAGCAAAGCGACGGCGAGUCGUGCGCUUCACACUAGAGCUUACGGUGCGUCAAAUACAGGUGCGCUGCGCAUUCAUUCAGAUGAUCUGAAAAAUAGAUCGCUUGAAUAGAAACUCUGAAGCGCUCAGUCAGAGUGUUCGGCGAGUGACAAUAUAUCUGCGCUAAACUUAUACAUAGCCUCCAACUCACAUACUAUAAAAUCUGAUUAUUUAUCAGCCAGUGGCUAAUAUUAGACAUCACAUAGUCGCCCAGGGUGAAGAUUUAGUCGCAUAUGCAAGUGAUUUACUGGCAAUGUGCUUGCACGUUUGUACUUCUUCGCUGCUCUAAAUAGUGGUUGCUUGUGGCAACACAGCACAGCUUCCUGUGUUUGCAUUCUGAGCAGCGAAGAAGAAUUGAUUUCCGAUUUGCAGCGUUAAGCAAAGCUAGCGCGCAUAACUAUAGGUCUUGUUUAAGAAAAUGGUAUCGGAUCGGUACAUGGGUUCAAGUACUCGCCGAUACCGAUGCCAGAAUGUUUUGUGGUAUCGGUGAAAUUUCCGAUACUAGUAUCGAAAUCGGAACAACCCUAGAAAGUAUAACUGCAUCGGAGUCACUCUUUUUACGUGGUCCGAUGCAGCGCUGGUGUUGAACCAGUGAAUCCGUGCAUGGACCACGGCUGAUGCCUUCUGUGAGCCCAGCACGGAAUUUUCGGCGAUUCCGUGAUGCCACCACAGAUUCGGGGUUAAUUAAGUCUGUGAACAUUACACGGAAUUCUGUGAGAUCAGUUUGACCAAAGUUAUCAACGGCAAGUGUUAAAUAUGCAGUGUUAUACACAACAGUUUGUAAGUGGUGGUAAAUUAAGAGAGAUUUUUUUUGUGGUUUCUCACAGCCGGACAGAAACCUACAAAUUAUAUUUUUAAACUAGAGAGACGGCCGACAGACCAUCUUCCUCAUCUCUAACCGUCACUCGCGCCACAGAUCUGAAGGAAGAGCAAAGGCAGCGAGGGGUGGUGUGAUGUCAUUGGCAACAGGAAGGCUGCAGUACUAAUAUGAGCCUGAAAUGAAGAACAAUAAUUACAUCAGUCAUUCAAGCUAGGAUCUUGGCAGAUCUACUACUAUCUGAAAAGAAGAUUUUUUUU